rnacentral:rRNA from 1 species
CUUCCACGGUUUGUGCGACGCAGCUAACGCAUUAAGCGCCCCGCCUGGGGAGUACGAUCGCAAGAUUAAAACUCAAAGGAAUUGACGGGGCCCCGCACAAGCAGCGGAGCAUGCGGCUUAAUUCGACGCAACGCGAAGAACCUUACCAAGGCUUGACAUAUACAGGAAUAUGGCAGAGAUGUCAUAGCCGCAAGGUCUGUAUACAGGUGGUGCAUGGUUGUCGUCAGCUCGUGUCGUGAGAUGUUGGGUUAAGUCCCGCAACGAGCGCAACCCUCGUUCUGUGUUGCCAGCAUUUAGUUGGGGACUCACAGGAGACUGCCGGGGUUAACUCGGAGGAAGGUGGGGAUGACGUCAAAUCAUCAUGCCCCUUAUGUCUUGGGCUGCACGCAUGCUACAAUGGCUGGUACAAACGGCUGCGAUACCGCAAGGUGGAGCGAAUCCGAGAAAGCCAGUCUCAGUUCGGAUUGGGGUCUGCAACUCGACCCCAUGAAGUCGGAGUUGCUAGUAAUCGUAGAUCAGCAACGCUACGGUGAUACGUUCCCGGGGCUUGUACACACCGCCCGUCACAUCACGAAAGUCGGUAACACCCAAA